AGGCCUGGGGGAGCCAUGAACAGGGGCAUCUGGGACGGGCUUCAGGGUGCGGGUGGCGUGGGGUCCAGGGCCUCAACCCCGUGUGCCGCUUUCAGAGCCCAUCUGCGCUGUCGGCCACGGUGUCGCCGCCCUGUGCUGUGCCACCAACGAGGACAGAUCCUGGGUGUUCCACGGCUACAGCCUGACAGGGCCCUCUGUGUGUGAGCUCGUCAGGGCCCCCGGCUUCGCCCGCCUGCCGCUCGUGGUGGAGGACUUCGUGAAGGAUUCAGGCGCCUGCUUCAGUGCAAGUGAGCCUGACGCUGUGCACGUCGUGCUGGACCGCCACCUGGUCACGGGCCAGAAUGCCAGCUCCACUGUCCCGGCCGUGCAGAACCUGCUCUUCCUCUGUGGCAGCCGGAAAUGAACCUGCUGGGUCGAUGCACCCCCUGAGACAGCCCAGGUGUCUCAGGCUUCAGGGACCCCGCCUCUUCCCUCCUGACAAGGGCCCUGGAUGGCAGCCUGGUCUGGCCCUAAUGGGAUUGUUGGAGGCCUCCUGGAAUCAGCUCUGAGCGGGUGUCGGCUCUCCUGGAGGGUCCAAGCCCCCA
rnacentral:sRNA from 1 species